rnacentral:rRNA from 1 species
GACGAACGCUGGCGGCGUGCUUAACACAUGCAAGUCGAACGGAAAGGCCCUGCUUUUGUGGGGUGCUCGAGUGGCGAACGGGUGAGUAACACGUGAGUAACCUGCCCUUGACUUUGGGAUAACUUCAGGAAACUGGGGCUAAUCCCGGAUAGGAGCUCCUGCUGCAUGGUGGGGGUUGGAAAGUUUCGGCGGUUGGGGAUGGACUCGCGGCUUAUCAGCUUGUUGGUGGGGUAGUGGCUUACCAAGGCUUUGACGGGUAGCCGGCCUGAGAGGGUGACCGGCCACAUGGGGACUGAGAUACGGCCCAGACUCCUACGGGAGGCAGCAGGGGGAAAUAUUGCACAAUGGGCGGAAGCCUGAGGCAGCAACGCCGCGGGCGGGAUGACGGCCUUCGGGUUGUAAACCGCUUUCGCCUGUGACGAAGCGUGAGUGACGGUAAUGGGUAAAGAAGCACCGGCUAACUACGUG